rnacentral:lncRNA from 1 species
CACAAACUGAACCAUCAUUUGAACCAAUGACACUGCUGCAACUCCUUCAAGAGUAAUUGUGAUCCUGGCAUCUAACAGCUUCCAAAAGGUGGCACCCAUCAUCAUCAUCGACAUCAACAAUAAAAACAACAACAACUAUACCAAAUUAUUUAUUGUUCCUGGUAUGGGACUGGGACAUGCAAAAAGAAAACGAGGCAAUCCUGAUUCCUGAUCCCGUGAGAAGCUACACAGACAGCCAUGCUGGUCGGAAGGCUCUUUAUGAGGAUCGACAAUUAGCCAAAUCUGAACCAAA